CAAGAGCAGGAGCAGAUGUGUGACUAUUGCCACAAGUCCAAUGCCAGAAGAAACUCUGUGGCAAAAGACUAAAGGGUCUAGUUUCCUCCAUGCACAUGGGAUUGAUUCAGGACCCCUGCCCUUUUCAGUGCACAGAAUGGAUGGUGCGCAGUUAAUGAACAGAUACUGAAUAUUUUUUAAUCCUCAUUGUCCAAUGUGUGAUAAUGUCCAUUGUCCAAUUACUUACAGCUCACUACUCAAACCCUGACUUGAAUUCAGAAUUUUUAAUUUCCUCAUGGGCUUUUCUAUGGCAUUCAUCAGUAUAAUAUCUGAGUGCUUCACAAGCAUCGAUGAAUUUAUUUUCACAACACCCCAGUGAGAUGAGGGGAUAUUAUGAGCCCCAUUUUUCAGAUGGGCAAUGGAGACACACAGAGAUUAAGGCCAAAAAUUUAAUCUUAUUUUGGGUGCUCAAUUUGACAUGCCUAGGACCUGAUUGUUCAGAUUACUUAGAAUCAUACAGUACAUCGUACAUUCAUAACAAAGCUCCCUAUUGAGUUAAAAACAAAAGCAAACCAAUUUGAAAAAUAGAAGUACAUAGCAGAUUUUACCCUAGACAGCUUAAUCUGAAGCAUUUAGCCUGAAUUUUAGCCCAGUCCAAUAACUUGGAUCAUGGGGCAGAGGGUACAAGAUUUUUUAACUAUAUGUUG